CCUACGGGAGGCAGCAGUCGAGAAUCAUUCACAAUGGGGGAAACUCUGAUGGUGCGACGCCGCGUGGGGGAAUGAAGGUCUUCGGAUUGUAAACUCCUGUUAUGUGGGAGUCAAUUAAAAAGAUUGUACCACAAGAGGAAGAGACGGUUAACUCAGUGCCAGCAGCUGAGGUAAUACAGAGGUCUCAAGCGUUGUUCGGAAUCACUGGGCGUAAAGCGUGCGUAGGCUGUUGUGUAAGUCGAGUGUGAAAGGCGCGGGCUCAACCCGCGGACGGCACAUGAGACUGAGGGACUAGAGUAAUGAAAGGAGAACCGGAAUUCUCGGUGUAGCGGUGAAAUGCGUAGAUAUCGAGAGGAACACUCGUGGCGAAGGCGGGUUCCUGGACAUUAACUGACGCUGAGGCACGAAGGCCAGGGGAGCGAAAGGGAUUAGAUACCCGGGUAGUC
rnacentral:rRNA from 1 species